AUGCACUAUUCGUAACCUGGUUCCCCCCACCGUGGGAACACUGGUUCCAUUCUGGUGCUAAAUUGAGCUCCAGUGAGGCAGGGGAGUAGCGCCCCUCUUGUGCUCGCUCCCUGUUCACUCUCUGGAAACACUU